rnacentral:rRNA from 1 species
CCUAGGGCGGCAGCAGUGGGGAAUAUUGGACAAUGGGCGAAAGCCUGAUCCAGCCAUGCCGCGUGUGUGAAGAAGGCCUUCGGGUUGUAAAGCACUUUCAGUGGGGAAGAAAGCCUUGGGGCUAAUACCCUCGAGGAAGGACAUCACCCACAGAAGAAGCACCGGCUAACUCCGUGCCAGCAGCCGCGGUAAUACGGAGGGUGCGAGCGUUAAUCGGAAUUACUGGGCGUAAAGCGCGCGUAGGCGGUCUGAUAAGCCGGUUGUGAAAGCCCCGGGCUCAACCUGGGAACGGCAUCCGGAACUGUCAGGCUAGAGUGCAGGAGAGGAAGGUAGAAUUCCCGGUGUAGCGGUGAAAUGCGUAGAGAUCGGGAGGAAUACCAGUGGCGAAGGCGGCCUUCUGGACUGACACUGACGCUGAGGUGCGAAAGCGUGGGUAGCAAACAGGAUUAGAUACCCGUGUAGUC